CUCCACUUCCUUGCUCACUGGUCUGAGCCACAUUUCUUGGAGCUAACCGCUGGGACCGUACCAUCCUGGGUGCAGUAGGACACUCACGUGUGAAGUGCCCUUCUUGUCCGCACCUAAAACAUGCCGUAGUCCCUGCCAGACAGACUCCUUGGUGUGGCUUGCCACACCUCGAACAUCUUGUAGUGCCUCGACCAGAACUCGAACCAUCUUCAGCAUCUAGCCUAAACCUCUUCCACAACCUACCCUUCCUAGUUCUGCCCCAUUGCUUCGGGGUUCUUCUCCCC
rnacentral:lncRNA from 1 species